AAAGUAUUUUUGGCAAUGGGGGAAACCUUGAUCCAGCAACGCCGCGUGAGGGAUGAAGACUUCGGGUUGUAAACUUCUUUUCAGGGAGACGAGCAAGGANGGUAUCCCUGAAUAAGCCANGGCUAACUANGUGCCCAGCAGCCGCGGUAAUACGUAGGUGGCGAGCGUUAUCCGGAUUUACUGGGCGUAAAGCGCUUGNAGGCGGNUAUGUAAGUUGGACGUGAAAGCUCCGGGCUUAACUNGGAGAGGCCGUUCAAUACUGCAGGGCUAGAGGAUGUCAGAGGAAGGUGGAAUUCCUGGUGUAGCGGUGAAAUGCGUAGAUAUCAGGAGGAACACCNUGUGGCGAAGGCGGCCUUCUGGGGCAUUCCUGACGCUGAGAAGCGAAAGCUAGGGGAGCAAACAGGAUUAGAAACCCUGGUAGUCCUAGCCGUAAACGAUGGAUGCUAGGUGUUGGCGGNAUUGAACCCCGCCAGUGCCGCAGCUAACGCGUUAAGCAUCCCGCCUGGGAAGUACGUACGGCCGCAAGGUUG
rnacentral:rRNA from 1 species